rnacentral:rRNA from 1 species
AUGGAACCGUCCGGUUCAGGUUCCGGUUCAGGAGCAGCAGAACCGGCCGAGGACGACCACAACCAAGAACCGGCCCAUGGGGGCUCCAACUCCAACUCCAGCGCCUCCUCCAAUGGGGAUGGGGCCCUGAGCGCCGCCGCGCCGCCCCUCGACCUCGACCAGGCCGGAGGCUCCUCCGCCCCCUCCCUCGACUAUGCCACCUUCGGACCGUGGCUGACGUGGAACGACGACCCCGUGGUGUCGCCGGCGAGGGAGGAUCCCGACGCGGCGGCGGCGGGGCCGUCCGGCUCCGGGCUGGCGUUUGACCAGCGGCUGGCGAUCGAGCAGGCGGCAGCCGACGUGGCGAACGCGCUGUGGGGACGGCAGGUGGUGACCCUUGCGAUGCUGCGACGUGCUUUUGGCGCUUCUUUGUAUUCUCCUGCGAUGUUCAACUCGUGGCGCGCGGAAGAGGCGCUCGAGCGGAAGGAGCAGAUUCGUAGAAAAGGAAGGGAAAUAUGUUCGGAACAUGUGAAGCACCAGACACAUCCCAUCACUGAAGUCAGAAGGCAUCAUAAGCUUGCUUCUGAUGAGGCGAACCAUCUUGAUGCCUAUUCGGAAUGUAGAUCGGUGAUUGGAGAUGGGGAGUGUUUCUACAGGAGUUUCAUAUUUUCGUACCUUGAGCAAGUUAUUGAUAGGCAGGACACACAUGAGGAACACCGUCUCCUUCAGGCUGUUGAUAUGGUGAAUCUGCACUUUGCAGCUCUUCGAUGGAACGAGUCUGAGUUUCGAUGGAACGAGUCUGAGUUUUCCAGGAGCAGCAGAGCAUUUAAGAAUCUGAUCGAGAAAGUAAUGAGAUGGAAGAGUCAUGGCAGGUGGAAGAGCAUGGAAUCAACUAGCAGCUACCGUAGAGAGGAACUUCUCGAGUUCUUCAGGAGUACGAUACGACGCAAGACAUUUUUAUUUUCCUCAGAUUAG